rnacentral:miRNA from 1 species
ACAGUGAGUGAAGAAGGCAGUCU